ACAUCCAGAGAACUUGGCAGAGAUGCCUUGGUGCCUUCGGGACCUCUGAGACAGGUGCUGCAUGGCUGUCGUCAGCUCGUGUUGUGAAAUGUUGGGUUAAGUCCCGCAACGAGCGCAACCCCUAUCCUUUGUUGCCAGCGAUUCGGUCGGGAACUCAAAGGAGACUGCCGGUGAUAAACCGGAGGAAGGUGGGAUGACGUCAAGUCAUCAUGGCCCUUACGAGUAGGGCUACACACGUGCUACAAUGGCGCAUACAAAGAGAAGCGACCUCGCGAGAGCAAGCGGACCUCAUAAAGUGCGUCGUAGUCCGGAUCGGAGUCUGCAACUCGACUCCGUGAAGUCGGAAUCGCUAGUAAUCGUAGAUCAGAAUGCUACGGUGAAUACGUUCCCGGGCCUUGUACACACCGCCCGUCACACCAUGGGAGUGGGUUGCAAAAGAAGUAGAUAGCUUAACCUUCGGGAGGGCGUUUACCACUUUGUGAUUCAUGACUGGGGUGAAGUCGUAACAAGGUAAGCGUAGCGAG
rnacentral:rRNA from 1 species